rnacentral:rRNA from 1 species
UACGUAGGGGGCAAGCGUUGUCCGGAAUUAUUGGGCGUAAAGAGCGUGUAGGCGGUCCGGUAAGUCGGCUGUGAAAGUCCAGGGCUCAACCCUGGGAUGCCGGUCGAUACUGCCGGACUAGAGUUCGGAAGAGGCGAGUGGAAUUCCCGGUGUAGCGGUGAAAUGCGCAGAUAUCUGAAGGAACAUCAGUGGCGAAAGCGCUCUACUGGGCCAUAACUGACACUGAGGGACGAAAGCUAGGGGAGCGAAAGGG